AUUCUCCUGAAACAGAAACGAAAAAUGACAGCGUUAGUCGGACGAGCAUAGAUGGCGUUGUAGUACGGGAAAAGAAAAAGCAGAGCCUUCGAGUCGCGACGAUAGAAAUGUAGAAAGAUAUCAGAGAUAUCAUUUUGAAUAAUAUCAUUUUUCUUAUAACUUCGAGAUCGACAGUCUCAUAAUUUUUAAGAUAUUUGAAGAGAAAGAUCGUAUUCGAUACAUAAUUUGUUCAACGUAUUAUAUCUAAGAAGAUUCCAGUGCAGGGGUAAUAUUAAUUUUCUUCUACCCGUAGACCACUACUGUGCGCGUAACACGAACGUAAAUGUUCCCGUAACGUGCACACGUAUAUAACAUAAUACUCGCAUGAAAAUUAUCGAAUAUACGGCAAAAAAUCCGAUAUUCCCUUGGCCGGCCGCUGACCGAAGAGGAUUGUAAAAUUAUAAGCGCAAACUGCCAGGAUCUUUAACCCAUGUCAAGAUUUUUAUCGAUGAGAUAUCGAAUCGGCGGGCGUUUCCACAUUUUAACCGAUAACUAAUAAAUUCCGGUGGACGCUUAUUCCGUUUCGUAUUCCAUCCCUCCAGUUAAAUUUUCGCCCAAGAUCGCGGAUAAAUCGAUCGUAUCGCUUUCAUUGGAUCGGCUACCCGUCUCGUUCUUAUUAUUUUUCGCUGUUUACACAGGACGGAGACCACCUGAAAGGGGAAAAAAUUAAGGAGCAACAGCGGGGAAAGAAAGAAAAAAAACAGAGAGCAACAUUGCCUUCAUCGUCACGGUGAGAUGGAGCAAGUUUUCCUAAUUCUAGGAGGAGUGGAGGGAACGACAGAACAAAAAGCUGUGUACGAGCACGAAUGACAAGAGGAAAGAAAGAGCGUGUAGCCAUCCGAGGUAAAUCAUAAACUGGAUGGAUGUAGGUAGGAAGGAAGGAAGGAAGGAAGGAAGGAAGGGAAGUGGAAAGGUGGCACGUGUAAUCUCGUUGACGCAAGGCAACCCACUCGUGGAAGAAGGGAAUUUCGUCGUUGAAGAUACUCGCGCGUUCCUUAUUAAAAGUCUUACUGAAAGUCGAGUAAAUCAUAUUGCUUCUGGACCAUUCUCGCGUUAGAAUAGAUUCGAGACUAAAUCAUGUCGAGAGAAUUAUUUUUUACCGAUGAAUAUCGCGUUAAGAGCGAAAGUGUAUGCAUUUCAAAACUUGUUCAACGUUCGUAUGAUUUCAUAUCUUUAUUAUUAAAACUGAUUAAUACUGGUAAUCUCGGAAACUUUAUCGACGCAUGGAAUAAUAUAUCAAACGAACGUUCAUUAAAAUUCAUUAAGAAAGAUGUUAAAUUAAAGACAACAACACGUUUCUAGAAUCGUAAAUUCCAGACAUUACUAUUGGUUGAUGAAAAUUGAAAAUGAAAAAAUAAAUUAAUUAUUAAUCAUAAACUAUUUAUGUAUUUUGCAAAAAGAGAGGUAAUUUAAAGUGUUUAAUUCUAAAUAUUCUAAAUAUCUUGUAUAUAAAAUGUAUUUAUGAUAUCAUCAUAUCAUAGCGAUGUCGAGUAAAAUGGAAAAUUAAAUACGAUAAGAAAACGAUAAA